rnacentral:lncRNA from 1 species
AGAUUAUCUUUAUUAUAAAAAUUAUAAAAAUCAAGACAUUUCUAAUACUCAUGUUGUCUCCUUUAUAGCACCAAUAAAACUCUAUGGAAAUUCUAAAUGACCUGCCUGUUUCUCCAAUGACAUUGUGAGAUCCUUGACAACUGGGGUGGUUCAUGUUAGUAAAACACUGACAUUGAGGAUAAUCAAAAUUGGCAUUAAUGAUGGAAGCAUAUCAUCAUGCAAGAUCCCUGACAAAUGGCUACUCUAAGGAAUCCUGCUUUCUUGAAAGGUUGAUGCUGGAAAAAGGUUUCUGGUAUACUGCUAACCUCUCACCAAGCCUUACUGAAUCCUACUACAUGCUAAGGAAAUGCUGGGAAAAGUGACGAGUCAACUAAAUUUGCAAAGUCCUUUGUACUGCAACAAAGAUAAAGCAUUGAUCUAUACAUAGUGUCCAUUGUGCCAGUCACCUUUGGCAUCUCAUCCAGCAAAGAAUGGAAAGAACCAGGAAAGAAGAGAAUACCAGCAAUGCUUCUGGUGUGCCAUUCUAGAGGAAAAUGUGAAAUCUGUGG